GCCCAAGGGUCUGGGAUAACCCCGGGAAACUGGGGAUAAUACCGGAUGGAUCACUAGUGCUGGAAUGCUUGGUGGUUUAAAGGCAACGCCUUUGGAUGGGUCUGCGGCGGAUUAGGUUGACGCCGGUGUAACGUACCGGCGUGCCUGUAAUCCGUACGGGUUGUGGGAGCAAGAGCCCGGAGAUGGAUUCUGAGACACGAAUCCAGGCCCUACGGGGCGCAGCAGGCGCGAAAACUCUACAAUGCAGGCAACUGCGAUAGGGGGACAUCGAGUGGCAUCCACCUUGGGUGCCUGUCCAACCGUCUAAAAAACGGUUGUUAGCAAGGGCCGGGUAAGACCGGUGCCAGCCGCCGCGGUAAUACCGGCGGCUCGAGUGGUGGCCGAUAUUAUUGAGUCUAAAGGGUCCGUAGCCGGCUUUGCAAGUCCCCUGGGAAAUCCAGCGGCUUAACCGUUGGGCUUUCAUGGGAUACUACAUUGCUUGGGACUGGGAGAGGUAGGAGGUACUCGGGGGGUAGGGGUGAAAUCCUGUAAUCCUCCGGGGACCACCGGUGGCGAAGGCGUCCUACCAGAACAGGUCCGACGGUGAGGGACGAAAGCUAGGGGCACGAACCGGAUUAGAUACCCGGGUAGUCCUAGCCGUAAACGAUGCCCGCUAGGUGUCACGACGGUCGUGAAUCGUCGUGGUGCCGUAGGGAAGCCGCGAAGCGGGCCACUUGGAAGUACGGCCGCAAGGCUGAAACU
rnacentral:rRNA from 1 species